ensembl:lncRNA
AUAUAUAUAUAUAUAUAUAUAUGUAUAUAUAUAUAUAUAUAUAUAUAUAUAUAUAUAUAUAUAUAUAUAUUAGAAAUAAAAUAGUAUCUUCUUCAGUGUGUAAAUAAAUCAUUGUAUAAAUAUUAAAUAGUACCAUUAAGUUCUGUCAAAAUACAACAUUAUAUUAUUAUUAUUAUUAUUUAACAAAAAUAUAUCACAUUGAUUUAAUAAAAAAAUAAAAAUAAAAUCGGACAUGCCCUAAGUGCACUUGUGCUGUGUGCGCUCUAGACCAUGCAUUAAGAUAAUUAAAAUAUAUAUAGCUUAUCCAAAAACUUCCUAUGGUAUGCCCAUCUCACUUGCAUUAAAGACAUGAAAAGUAUUUUUCUGUAUAAAAGUGCCAUUGAGUAGUUAAAGUUGGUAAUCAAACAAGUUGAUGAUCAGUGCAGAUAUGUGUGGAAAUGAUUGGCCAGAAAGAUGCUCCGCCCCACUUCUGUUUUCUUUAAAAAGACCUAUAGUCCCAAUGACUGCAUUUCAUCAUACCAGCACCUGUGCUAAACUUGCAAAAUGGUAAGUUUCACUGAUUAAUAUAGAACUUACAUGUAAAAAUUUACUGUUGUGUACUGUGUUUUUAACUUUCUUUUUUUCUUUAAUAAGUUAAAAUUUUUACAGGCAUUUUUGGCUCUGGUUUUGGUAUUUUGUGCCUGUGUCUCUUUAAGUGAUUCCGCCUGCUCCUUGACACUUCUAGAUCAAGGUGCAGAAUAUUGUGUCGAUGGCUAUGAUAACUCCAAGCAUCCAAUCGGAAGUACUUGGACAAACAAAAGAUGCAUCGGAUGUACCUGCUCCCCUGGGGAAAUGAAGUGCUGUGACGUGGUGGGCCGAGCGAUUAACCUCUCUCAAGGCUGCAUUGCGAUUUAUGAUUACAACGAUAAAUGCACAUUUGAAGUAUUAAAUCCAAACAACCCCAACAUGAUAUGUUCUUAUGAUGUUGUUGGAAAGGAAUUAAAAUGAUCAAGUAAUGUGUCCAUUUUACAUUCAAAUAUCAGCUGUUUUUGGAUCCAACUUGGACUUCACUGUAAAGAACACAUUGUACCAAUUUUCCUCAAUAAAAGUGCAUCAGCUUUUUGAGUAUUUUGAACUGAUUUUAUUUUUGUUUGGUCUAUCAGACUUUACAUUUCGCACUCUUAAUUAAUGGCAACAUUUUUUUUUUUUUUUUCAAUUUACAAACUAUUGUUUUAAAAUGAUCAAACAUAAACCUUGUUCUUUUUAAAGUUAUAUUUAUAAUUAUUUUUAUUAUAUCCUUCAUAUUUUUACAUUUUCUUGAAAUGUUUUAAUUUAAAUUUAAUGAAACAGUAAAGAGGCGUCUCAAAACAAAACAUUUAUUCACUUUACAAUGUUACAACAGCUCAACAAUGCAAAAUACAGAGUAUCAUUAAUGCCAUUUUAACACCAAUUCUCACUUUUUUAAAACUAUUUAAACUAUUUUAGUUGCUAAUUUAAACUUAUGUUACUGAGGGAAAACUCUUAGCCAUUGCUGAAUGUGUUCCCUAAUUCUAAAGUGUUACCACACAUCCUUUUCAGAUUAAUUUAUUCACCUUUACAUAAAGAUGUUUAAUGUCUUCAUGUAAAAAAGAAAAAGAAAAGUGGGCCCUACAUGGUUUAUGCUGGGUCUACAUGGGUACCAAGUGGGCACGGUCCCAAAAUGGGCAUCUUAUCUGGGGCCCUAGUUGGGUCAUAAAUUGGAAAUAAGUGCAUGGGUUCUAAAUGGAUAACACAAAUGGGACCCAUGUCAAUUUAAUAAAAGGGUUAGGCAUGGACAAAUACAAUUAAUCCCAUAUAGACUGCCUACACUGGCCAAAAGGUAGUACCAAUGGUGAGCUUGAUUGCAAGUACAUCAUGUUCCUGGAUCAGCAUCCUUGUUGAUUCUGGAACAACAUUUCAAUCAACCUAUCAGAAUUGAGAUAAAACUUUUUGGGAAAUAUAUGUUUUAGGCUUGCAAUCAAGGUUAGGUGCUUCUACUCCAUUGUUAAUCAGCUAUCAUUUGCACUGAUUUUAGGAAUAAAUUAUGGGAAGGGUUAGGUUUAGGGGUAGUGAUUGGGUUAAGUCAAUAUUUUUGGACAACAGUGUGGAUCCAGGAUCAUCAACAUAUGUUGACCCAGAAACAUGUCUUGGCAAAAUCACAGCAGCCUAAUACCCAACCUCUAUAUGGGUUUUUCCGAAUGGGGAAACACAAAUGUGGCCCUCUUUGCCAAACCAUAUGGGUAAAACAUUGUUUUGCUGUUUUACUGUUUGUAUCACUAAUUCUUACGUUUCCUAUGUAAUGUUAAUCUGUUUAUUCUGUUAUUCUAUUUCUAUGUAAAGCGACCUUGGGUCUGAGAAAGGCGCUAUAUAAAAUAAACUUAUUAUUAUUAUUAUUAUUAUUAUUAUUAUUAUUAUUAUUUAGCAUUGGCAAACACAAUCAAUCCUAUAAAAGCUGACUACAUUUGCUCAAGGUAGUACCCACAUAGGUAAUAUUUGUAUGGGUUCUGAAUAGGCCCUUUUGGCCAAAAUAUGUGUCAGACAUGGGCAAACACAAACAUUGCCUUAAAGUCUGGCUACAUGGACUCAAGAUAAUACCUACCUGGGUAAUCUGUGUAUGGGUUAUAAAUGGGUAAAUACAAAUGUGGUAGUGAUAAGUGUCACGCUGUCAGUCUCUGUUUUCCUGGGUGUUCCCUAGUGAGCUCACUUCUCCUUAGGCACUUCACCAUAGGCACUUUUAUUCCUCUAGUCUGGUCCUGUCUUCACAGUUAUUGCACUCCAAUUAAAUCACACAGGUGCUGAAGCUGAGGCAGUGCCCGAUGCUGUUUCGGAGGCAGAGGCGGUGCCGGAGGCCGUUCCCGAGGAGAUGACCGAGACGUGAGACAGCUCUGCUUCGGGCACCGCCUUAGGAACGGCCUCAGGCACCGCCCGAAGCAGUGCCGUCUCACGUCUCCACAGGCAGUCCAAAGUCAAGUCUCAAGUCAGGUGCCCAUUGACUGUCCAGAGUUGAGUCAGUUCCCGGUUGACCCUC